rnacentral:rRNA from 1 species
ACUACACGACGACCGGCGCACGGGUGAGUAACGCGUAUGUAAUCUGCCUUGUACAGAGGGAUAGCCCAGAGAAAUUUGGAUUAAUACCUCAUAGUAUUACUGGAUCGCAUGAUUUGGUAAUUAAAGCUCCGGCGGUACAAGAUGAACAUGCGUGACAUUAGCUAGUUGGUAAGGUAACGGCUUACCAAGGCUACGAUGUCUAGGGGUUCUGAGAGGAUGAUCCCCCACACUGGUACUGAGACACGGACCAGACUCCUACGGGAGGCACCAGUGAGGAAUAUUGGUCAAUGGACGCAAGUCUGAACCAGCCAUCCCGCGUGAAGGAUGACUGCCCUAUGGGUUGUAAACUUCUUUUAUAUGCAAAUAAAACUACUUUCGUGAAAG